rnacentral:rRNA from 1 species
UACGUAGGGGGCAAGCGUUGUCCGGAUUUAUUGGGCGUAAAGAGCGUGUAGGCGGCCUUACAGGUCAGCUGUGAAAACUCGAGGCUCAACCUCGAGAGGUCGGUUGAAACUGUAAGGCUAGAGUCCGGAAGAGGAGAGUGGAAUUCCCGGUGUAGCGGUGAAAUGCGCAGAUAUCGGGAAGAACACACGUGGCGAAGGCGGCUCUCUGGGACGGUACUGACGCUGAGACGCGAAAGCGUGGGGAGCGAACAGG